UCUUUGUGAAAUAUAAAUAAAGAGUCGGGCCUGCUCGGUGAAUAAGUUUUUAACAGCUGCGGUAUUUUAACUGUACUAAGGUAGCRUAAUAAUUUGCCUUAUAAUUUGAGGCUAGAAUGAAUGGUUUGACGAAGGUUAAUCUGUCUCCGCUUUAUUUUUUAGAAUUUAAUUUUUAAAGUGAAAAAGCUUAAAUUUUUUAAAGGGACGAGAAGACCCUAAUGAGCUUAUAAUUUUAUUAUUGNNNNCAAAACAUUUGGUCAAUAAUAUAUAAAUUUUAAUUGGGGUGAUUGAGGGAUAAAUUAGAUAAAGUAACUUCCUUAAACUAAAUAUUUAUAGAUAAAGUAACCAAUAUAAUAUUGCUUAUAAUAUAGUUANNAUAGGGAUAACAGSGUAAUUUGUUUAGAGAGGUUCUUAUUGAAAAACGAGAUUGSGACCUCGAUGUUGGAUUAAAGUAACCUUAAGGUGCAGAAGCUUUAGUAAGGUAAAUCUGUUCGAUUUUUAAUACUUUAC
rnacentral:rRNA from 1 species